UAGCUCAGUGGUAGAGUGCUUGCUUAGCAUGCAUGAGGCCCUGGGUUCAAUCCCCAG
rnacentral:tRNA from 1 species